rnacentral:rRNA from 2 species
UCGAGCGGAGUUUUGAAAAGCUUGCUUUUCAAAACUUAGCGGCGGACGGGUGAGUAACACGUGGGCAACCUGCCCUUGAGACGGGGAUAACUCCGGGAAACCGGAGCUAAUACCGGAUAACACAUAUCUUCGCAUGAGGAUAUGUUAGAAGGUGGCUUUUAGCUACCACUCAAGGAUGGGCCCGCGGCGCAUUAGCUAGUUGGUGAGGUAACGGCUCACCAAGGCGACGAUGCGUAGCCGACCUGAGAGGGUGAUCGGCCACACUGGGACUGAGACACGGCCCAGACUCCUACGGGAGGCAGCAGUAGGGAAUCUUCCGCAAUGGACGAAAGUCUGACGGAGCAACGCCGCGUGAGUGAUGAAGGUUUUCGGAUCGUAAAGCUCUGUUGUUAGGGAAGAACAAGUACCUGUUAAAUAAGCAGGUACCUUGACGGUACCUAACCAGAAAGCCACGGCUAACUACGUGCCAGCAGCCGCGGUAAUACGUAGGUGGCAAGCGUUGUCCGGAAUUAUUGGGCGUAAAGCGCGCGCAGGCGGUUCCUUAAGUCUGAUGUGAAAGCCCACGGCUCAACCGUGGAGGGUCAUUGGAAACUGGGGAACUUGAGUGCAGAAGAGGAGAGCGGAAUUCCACGUGUAGCGGUGAAAUGCGUAGAGAUGUGGAGGAACACCAGUGGCGAAAGCGGCUCUCUGGUCUGUAACUGACGCUGAGGCGCGAAAGCGUGGGGAGCGAACAGGAUUAGAUACCCUGGUAGUCCACGCCGUA